GGGCGCAUGGUCUAGUGGUAUGAUUUCUGUUUUGCAAUGCCUCCUUGGUACCUGCGAAUACAGACGGUCCCGCGUUCGAUCCGCGGUGCGUCCA